UUUUUUGUUGUCGAACGUCUCUAAUUUUUUUAUUUCUCGAUUUUAUUUGAUAUGUACAUGAGUUUACACUCGAUUUUAUCAUAUAAUAUCUUUAGGGGUUGUUUUUUGAAUCUAGUGGAAUAUUUAGGGGGGACCACAUGCGCGGCUUCUUUGAAAAAUGUCGGGGACGCCAAGAAAAGCGCGAAGAGGCGCAGAAUGCUAGUUUUUUUUGCAUUGAAAUGUGUGGGGUCCUAAGACCCAUUUUUCAAGACGUCGAGCUCGAGGAGAGCUUCACGUGCAUGUAUGGUGGGUCCCGUAACUCUUUCCGGACCGAAAGUUAUGCCCGAACGAAGUUCAGGAUCUCAAUUUCACUCGUGCUCAUCAACUAUAACAGAAUAGAUUGUGGUUUUACUUACG
rnacentral:misc_RNA from 1 species